CUGAGGUGGGAGGAUUGCUUGAGCCUAGGAGGUUGAGGCUAGAGUGAGCCAUGGUCACACCACUGCACACUAGCCUGGGUAACAGAUUGAGACCUUGUUUCAGAAAACAAAACAAACAGAUCUACAAAGAUCAACCUGUCUUAAGUCAGUCAUAUAAUCUCUUUGUAUAAUAACUCAAAACACCAUCUUCUCACCUCAAACCUGGUGCUUUUUUUUUUUCUUUUUUUUAAAAAAUAUGUUCUGUCCAAAUUAUUUUAUUAUUUUGAUUCCUAAAAUAGAAAUAGAAACUAAGAAAAAUAAAAAGCAACUCCUUUAUAAUAUAUGAGGACUUUUUCAGUUUCAAAUCAGAAAAACUCAACUCAGAGUACCUUAAACAAAAGGAGACAUUUAUUCACUUACAUAACCUAAAAGCUCUGACCUGGAUUCAGGUGCUCAACAGAUCUCAAGAAUAUUUCUCUUUUUCUCUCUCCCUUCCUUACCCUCCUCCUCUUUUCUCUCUUCUAUAUGUAUGUUAUUUUCAAACAUGCUCCCACAAGUAGUGGCAAUAUAUAGUUCCUAAUAGCUUCAGGUUUACAUUCUGCCUACUUUACCAACUAUGAUGGGAAGAGAGCUACAAUUGGAGCAAAAAUUUUUAGGGUGAGUUCUGAUUUCCCUGGAUUGAGGCACAUGCCUAUUCCUGAACCAAAUAUUCUGGCCAGGGAAUGGAAUUCUCUGGGACAUGUGUCUAAAGCUGAUGUAUAGAACCUGCCACCCCCAACACAGGGAUAAUAAUAGUUUUCCAAAGAAAAGUCAAGGAGGAGAAAGAAUGUUGGAAGAGAGAAAAGUAUCAGUUGUCUGUUUCAUAUUUUUUCUCAACAAUUCUGUAGAUCAUCUACAACUAUUUAGUGUAUAGCUUACGAUAUCAUAGAACUGAAAUACUGUAACACUCUAAACUUUAGAUUAUUUGUAGACAGGAAAAAUAAGAGAUCAAAGAAGCUGUGACUUUAUUCAAAUCACAUAGUUUCAAAUCACAUAGUUUGUAUACAUGCUGUUAAUAAAACCCGGGAUACCCGAGUACAAGUUUUAGCCUUAUAUUCACAUUGAGGUCCAGUUCCUGGUUUUGAAUGAGAUAAUUAUGCAUAGUGGGACUGUUUUCUGAUCCACAAAAUAGAGAUGAUAAUAUUUAUCUUGUAAAGUUGUGGUAGUAUUAAAGAUACGUAUAAAUGUUGGCAGGUACCUUAAUAGAUGGUAACUACUGCUGUAUGUUGUCAUUGUAAUAAAAGCCGUAUUUCUUCCUUUGUUGAAUUGUUUCCCUUUAGUAAUCUUAUUGUGAUCAUUCUGAAACACAGAUUUCCAUUGCUUCUUCAAGCAAACACCAUUAUGUUGAAACAUCUGCAUUAUUUCUAAGUUUAGCAGUACCAGUGGAAAGUUUACUGAAGUAGAAAAUUACUUUUUUAACUGAGGAGUGUAGAUUGUGAAUUCAUCUUAGAGAAGAUGAUCUGAAUAUUGAUGCCUAGAAUAUGAACAAAACAUUACAUAUCUUGUGCUAUGAUAUUAAAGUAGUAUCCUGUUCUGGUAGUAGUAUGGCAGUAUUUUAGGCCUGAAAGAUGUAUAUAAUCUGUACUUUAAAGUCUGUUUUUUAAGAGAUUAAUCACAAGAGAUUUACAUAAAACAAGUAAGAUUAAAAAUAAAUGGUGGAUUAGAGAUACAUCAGGCAAAUUUAAAUUUCAAAAGCAGAUGACAGGGUCUCAAUAUCAGAAUAGCAUUUAAAGCAAAAAGCAUUAAACUGGAUCAAAAAUGUUAUUUUACAUUACACGGGGUGCACUCCAGGUGAAAACUUAGCAGUUAUGAACCAAUAUGCUAAGGAUAACAUCAAAAUGUAUUAAGCAAAAGCUGAAAGAAAUGAAGAAUAGUUGGUAGAAAAGCAGUGAUAGGAAUUUUUAAUGUACUUCAAAACUCAAAAAGAAGGUACAGUCAUGUACCACAUAAUGAUGUUUGAGUCAGCAUCUGACCUCAUAUGUGACAAUGGUCCUAUAAAAUUAUAAUGGAACUAAAAAGUUGCUAUCACCUGGUGACGUAGCCAUUGCAGUGCAAUGUAUUCACUCACGUUUGUGGUAGCGCUGGUGUAAGCAAACUUGCUGUGCUGUCAGUUGUAUAAAAAGCAUAGCACAGUUAUGUUCAGUACGUAAUACUUUAUAAUGUUAAACGAAUGCUACUAGUCUACAUAUUUAUAGUACUAUACUUUUUUAUUAUUUUAGCAUGUACUCCUGCUUGUUUAAAAAAUGUUAACUAUAAAACAUUCUUUAAGCAGAUCCUUCUGGUGGUAUUCCAGAAAAAGGCGUUAUUGUCAUAGGAGAUAGCAGUUCCACGGGUGUAAUUGCCCCAUAAGACCUUCCAGUGGGACAAGAUGUAUAGGUGAAAGACAGUGAUAUUGAUGAACCUGACCUUGUAGAAACCAAGGCUAAAGUGUGUGUGUAUUUAUUAGUUUUUAACAAGAGUUUAUAAACAAUAAUAAUAAAUUUAAAAAUAGAAAAAAGCUUAUAGAAUAAGGAUAUAAAGAAAAAAAUUUUGUGUAGCUGUGCAAUGUGUUUUAAGCUAAAUGUUAGAGUCAGAAUUAAUUUUUUGUGUUUAUAAAGUGAAACAGUUAUAAAAUGCUAAGGUUAAUUUAUCGAAGAAAGAAAAAAAAUUUUUAAAUAAAUUUAGAGUAGCAUGUUUAUAAAAUCUACAGUAGUAUACAGUAAUAUCCUAGGACUUUACAUUAACUCACCACUCACCCAGGGCAACUUCCAGUCUUGCAAGCUCCAUUUGUGCUAAGUGCCCUAAACAGGUGUACUAUUUUUAUAUCCUUUAUACCAUUUUUACUGAACCUUUUCUAUGUUAGAUACACAAAUACCAUUGUGUUACAGUCACCUAUGAUACUGAAUUCAGCAGUAUGCUGUACGGGUUUGUAAAGUAGGAAGUGUAACAUAAUAGCCUAGGUGUGUAGUGAGCUAUACCAUCUAGGUUUGUGUAAGUAUAUUGUAUGAUACAAUGAUGAAAUCACCCAGAUGCAGUUUCUUUUAAGCAACACAAUACUGUAUAUAGGUGGCUUGAAUAAUAAAAUAAUGAAAUGUAUUUUUUCUGUCAUUCAUAAAACAGUUACCAAUCUUACGAAUUAGAUCAACUACAAAACAAAAAUCUCACUCAAAAAUCAAAAUUUAUAAGUUCUAUUUCUUGAUUACAAUUCAUUAGAACUGGAGUUUUUUUUUAAUGUUCAAAUUUAUAUGGAAAUAUAAAACCAUGUUUUAAAUAGUUUUUGAUUCAAUGAGGAAAUGUAAACUUACAUUAGAAAUUAAAAUUAAUAAGUAGAGAUUUAUAAAGGCAAAAAUGUAUCAUUUGAACUAAUAAAUCUAAAUACUGAUUGCAUGAAAUUGCCAAUAAAAUCAAUACAUAUUUUUAAGCCAGUCAAGGAAAAAAGAAAAGAGGGAAACUAAAAACAAGACAUUAAGUAUGAGAAACGAGAUAAAACUACAGUGUGGAGGUGAUGUUAAACAUUAUAUUCACGUUUGUGCUAAUCAUUUUGGAAAUUUCAAUGAGAAAUGGGCAAUUUUCAGUGAAUAUGUCAUCGUAAAUGCUUUAAGGCAAGAGAAAAAAUCUGAAUAGACCCUGCAAUAAUGAAAAUGUCUAGGAGCCCUCAAGAAAUAUUUGGUUUAAAUUGCAUUUCAGGUGGCUGCUUAUCAAAUCUUGAAGUAUCAAAUAAUUAUGUUAUCUAAAUUGGACCAGGUGUUAGAAACUAUGUAAGACUUUACAGAUGGCUGCUUAUGUAGCCCUUAUACCUUAAUCUGAUAAAAUAGCUUAUAUUUAAAAAGAGAGAAAACCAGAAAGUACAAUUCAGGGAAAAUUAAUUUUUUUCCGUUUGGCCAAAGUAAGAGUACAUUCAAGGGAAUUGUGAGAGGAAAGAGUGGAAAAAGAGGUUGGAGUUAUAUUUUUAUGCUGUGAUUAAAUUAUAGUGUGUGAUAAAUUGCUCUUGUUUGGGUAGAAUACCAUUUAACAUUUUGGAUUAAUUGGCAACUGGAUUAACCUUAAUUAAAAAAACAUCUGAAAGUGGUAUAAAGGAUGGAUUACAGAAUGGAUAAAGGGUAAUAAAUCAGUUGGCUAUGGCAAAAUUGCAGGAAGAAACUGAAAGAGGCCACAGAAAACCGAAGCUGACGUUUUGAGUAGUAUUUUGAAAUCAAAAUCUGGAUUUUGUCAACUGAAUAGAUGUGUAGGAAUCAAAGAUGAGUAGACUAAAUGAACUUAAUCUUGAUUUGUCUCUCAUUUUAGUUUGUAACGUUAGAGUGUAUGCAUGUAUGUGCCAGGUAGUUAAUAUGCUGUGUCUCUUACCUCCAUUCUGCUGCCUGGGCUUUUGCCAUAGUGCUGGAGUUCCCUCACUUCUCUUUUCUGUAGCCCUGUUAUAUCACAGCUGUCUUUCAGCUAUGUUUCCUUCCUCAAGCAGAAAGAAGAUGGCAGGAUCAUAUCGUAGUUGAUUAGAAGCUGGGGAUGUAGUUGCUGACUAGUGCUGGGAUAAUAUCUACUAUAUCUGUGCAUAUAGUAGUUGACUAGUGAUAGGAUGAUACCUAGUUCCAUUACAUAUGAAGAUAAAUGACCUUACUUCAUCUAUAAAAUGUUUUAUCAAUAGUACCAUUCUUACAUGGUUUUAUGAGUAUUAAAUUAUGCAUUUCUAAAGACAUUUAGAGCAAUAUAAAGAAUAUGGUAUGGGCUCAAUAAGCGGUGGUGGUGGUAGUUAUUAGAAGGCCUUCUAGUGCUAAGAAAAUAGUGAAUAUCACUGAUGGAAAUAAGGAAAGUUUUCCACAUAAAAAAGCUUCGGUUUUUGGAAAUGUGUGUUUUAAGUAUUUCUGAGAUUACCAGGUAGAAAUUCCAGCCAGAUGUUGGAAUUAUGCACUGGCAGUUGGGAGUAAAGUCAUAUUGAGGGAGAUAAGUUUUGGAGUUAUUAUGUAAAAUUGGAUAAUUAAAGCACUGGAAUAGAUUGGAUUGACAGAGGGGAAAAUCUUUUGAGAUAUGCCUAUAUUUAGCAACAAGAGAAGAGACAACCAAUAAAGGUUGGAAGAAACCGUAAGAGAGUAAGUCCUAUGACACAAGCAGGGAAGUUUCAGAAUGGGUGGAAAAAAAUCAGCCAGGCUCUUCCUGUUCUCCAUCAUGGUGCAGGAUCAAGGUGAAAAGGAGAACCCCAUGCAGAAACUUUGCAUGUGCAGACUCUGCCUCAACAUAUUUUUAGGAGAAACUGGAGACAGACUGACUUGAGUAACCAAGGUGUUGGAGCAGCUCACAGAUCAGAACCCUUCGUGUUUUCCAAAGCUAGGUGUACUGUUAGAUCCUUUGGCAACAGGAGAAAUGGAAAGACUGCCGUCUGCUAAACAAUUCGAGGAGCCAGGGCAGAAGAAAUCCGGGAGAAAGGUCUAAAGGUGCAGGAGUGUGAAUUAAGAAAAAAUAACUUCUCAGAUACUGGGAACUUUGGCUUUGGGAUCUAAGAACACAUCGAUUUGGGUAUCAAAUAUGACCCAAGCAUUGGUAUCUACAGCCUGGACUUCUGUGUGGUGCUGGAUAAGCCAGGUUUCAUCAUUGCAAAUAAGUGCAGGACAGGCUGCACUGGAGCCAAACAGAAUCAAUAAAGAGGAGGCCAUGUGCUGAUUCCAGCAGAAGUAUGGUGGGAUCAUCCUUCCUAGCAAAUAAAUUCUCAUUUCUACCCAAGAGGCCAAUACAAAGUGUUCAGUGAAAUGUUUAAAAAAAAAAAAAAAAUCAGCCAGCAGCCAGGAUUGGACUGUGAAAACAGCAGAAAAUUAGUUGUUGAGAAAGCAUUAAUGACCAUUAA